rnacentral:lncRNA from 1 species
AAAGCGCAGAGUCCUUGUCAGGAAGGAGAGCGAGCAAGCGAGAAAACGUGAGGACCGAAGGAGGGUUGAGUGGAUCAGGCCCAUCUAGUCCAGCGUCCUGUUCUCGCAGAGGCCAAAUACCCCCUAAGAACCGAGGGGUCCAGGUAGAUUGCUUCUGGACAUGGAGGUUUCAUGAGGACAUAGAAGAGUUUGGGUUUGAUAUCCCGCUUUAUCACUCCCCUUCAGGAGUCUCAAAGCGGCUAACAAUCUCCUUUCCCUUCCUCCACCACAACAAACACCCUGUGAGGUGAGUGGGGCUGAGAGACUUCAGAGAAGUGUGACUAGCCCAAGGUCACCCAGCAGCUGCAUGUGGAGGAGCGGAGAAUCGAACCCGGUUCACCAGAUUACGAGUCUACCGCUCUUAACCACUACACCACACUGGCUCUAACAUGUUAUAAGUUUAACAUAAGUUUGUUAAAGUUGCUGAGCGUUGUUCCAGGAGACCCUGUGUACUGCCCCCCAUAAGAGCUACAAUUCCCAGAGUUCCCUGAGAAGAGGGAUUGAUGGAUAAACCACGCUGGGAAUUUUAGCACCAGGAGCAGAAUACCUAGAACUGUCGGCGCCCUAAGCAAACUACAACUCCCAGAACUUAUUUGGGGAAGCAGUGCCUGUUUAAAGUGGUAUCACAGCGCUUCGGAUAUAUGGUGCAAGUGUGGCUUCAGAGGGCUUGAGUCACUCUUCAAAAGCAUUUCUGGGAAGUGUAGCUCAGCUAGGGGAAUAGGGGUCUGCUAAGAAGUCUCAGCACCCUGAGCAUCCAUCGCCUCUCAACGGCUUCUACUGCCAGAAAAUUCUUCCUAAUGUUUAGUUGGCAUCUCCUUUCUGGCCAUUUGAAUCCAUCGGUUCGGGUCCCAGCGUCUGGAACAGUAAAGGGGUUGGACUAGAUGACUCCCUUCCAAACCUACGAUUCCUUGCUACAAUUAAAACAAGUGUGCAUUUUUUUUAAAAAAUGGUGCAAGUGAAUCAGGACGAAAGCUCGUAUGGAGGAGCCCCUGAUCCAAAUUUCCCAGACAGCCUCUAAAGGCUUGCAGUCUAAUAUCAGAAGGGGCCUGGAGACAACAAGCCUUGCCCUUGUUGUAAACAAAAUCUUCCCUUUCCCCAUUAUGGGGUAACCAAGAGCCCAUAUAGAGUCCUUACGUGGGUUCCCUAUUGGUAGGAGAAAAUAACAGAGGCCAACCAGAGAAUAUUGAGAAGCAAAGCAGCUAGUAAGCCUGAUCUUUAUUGAUCUGUUGCAACAGGGUGCUCCCCUCACACGCAAGAAAGGAGGAGGACCCAGAACAAAGGUGUGCCUGCCCUUAUAUAGACAUUUUAAAUUCCCUGCCCUGGAGCUCAAGACCCCCCCCCCCAUACAUCAUACAUACAUCACAGAAGGGGUGUAACCCAAGACCACCCCCCAGAUACAUCAUACCUACAUCACAAAAAAGGCGGUCUACAGCAGAAAUCUGAGUGCGUUGUUUAUCUCGUCUGACAGGUUACCUGUUAAUGCUCACUUGAUUGGAUACCCUGGGGAGCCUGGCCAGUCUUUUGUAAUGAUAAAUACUUAGUUCCUGAGCCAGGUCACAGGCUCACCCUAUUCAUACACAGACAGACAUACCCUCAAGACAGGAUUUGUGAAGGAAAAGACAAUGGGGAGGCUUUUCCAUUUUCCUUUGACAUUGCAGAGAAAACAUUUGGUCAGUUUGGGAAUCAAAAAUGGUUUCAGGUCAGUCUUCCUGUGCUGAUCUAUGUACGUGCUUGGUUGGUACAUUUAUGAACAUUUAUUAUAUAUCUAAGACUUUAAGAUUCUUAUCGCAUCCUCACUGCCUCCUGUGGCAGGGAGUUCCAUAGUUUCAUCCCUGCCCUGCAUGAAAAAAGGGUCUUUCACUGGAUCAGAGGGAUUUUUCAGCUGCAGUUUCCUGCAUUGCAGGGGGUUGGACUACAUGACCCUCGGGUGUCUCUCCCAACCCUAUGAUUCUCAUGAGGUUAAAUCUCAAAGUGGCGAGACGGCUGCCUCUCUCGUUCCCUGCUCUCACGCUGCUGUGUGGCACAAACCUUGCAAUUUCACACACUGUGGCUGCGGAGAUGCUUUUUGAACUGUUGAUAACAAGCUGUAAGACCAUUAGGGCUGUUUUUAAAAAAAGUGGGGGUGGAAAAACCAGAAGAAAGAUUGGGAGCUUUUAAAGCUGCAGCCAUGGAGGAAAUUAGCACAGAGUUCGGGAGGUGAUAAAGAGCCUUCAAUAAUUGGUAUUAGUGGUGGUAUUUGGAUCAGAGCAGUGUUGCAUUGCGGUUAGUUAGAGGGUUAGACUAGGACCUGGGAGACCAGGGUUCGAAUCCCCGCACAUCCAUGAAGCUCACUGGAUGACCUUGUGCCAGGCAACCUGGCCUACCUCACAGGGUUGUUGUACGCAUAAAUGAGGAUAAUAAUAAUAUUAUAAUAAUUUAUUAUUUGUACCCCACCCAUCUGGCUGGGUCUCCCCAGCCACUCUGGGUGGCUUCCAACGAAGAUUAAAAAUACAUUAAAAUGUCACACAUUAAAAACUUCCCUGAACAGGGCUGCCUUCAGGUGUCUUCUAAAUGUCAGGUAGUUGUUUAUCUCUUUGACAUUUCGUGGGAGGGUGUUCCACAGGGCGGGUGCCACCACCGAGAAGGCCUUCUGCCUGGUUCCCUGUAGCUUUGCUUCUCACAGUGAGGGAACCGCCAGAAGGCCCUCGGAGCUGGACCUCAGUGUCCAGGCAGAACGAUGGGGGUGGAGACGCUCCUUCAGAUAUACUGGACCGAGGCCGUUUAGGGCUUUAAAGGUCAGCACCAACACUUUGAAUUGUGCUUGGAUACGUCCUGGGAGCCAGUGUAGAUCUCUCAGGACCGGUGUUAUGUGGUCUUGGUGGCCGCUCCCAGUCACCAGUCUAGCUGCCGCAUUCUGGAUUAAUUGUAGUGUCCGGGUCACCUUCAAAGGUAGCCCCACAUAGAACACACUGCAGUAGUCCAAGCGGGAGAUGCAGAGCAUGCACCACUCUGGUGAGAUAGUCUGCGGGCAGGGAGGGUCUCAUCCUGCGUACCAGAUGGAGCUGGUAGACAGCUGCCCUGGAUACAGAAUGGGCCUGCACCUCCAUGGACAGCUGUGAGUCCAAAAUGACUCCCAGGCUGCACACCUGGUCCUUCAGGGCCACAGUUACCCCAUUCAGGACCAGGGAGUCCUCCACAUCCGCCCACCUCCUGUCCCCCCAAAACAGUGCUUCUGUCUUGUCAGGAUUCUACCUCAAUCCGUUAGCCACCAUCCAUCCUCCAUGGGGAGAACAAUGGACUACACCUUAGAGAAAAAAGGUCGGCUAAAAAUGCGAUGAAUGAAUGAUAAAUUAAUACCACCCCUUGCUUCAGUUGUUGCCACAACCCGUCCAGUUCCUGAAACUUUUCUCAGGGCUAUGACCUGCGGAAAAAUCAGCCAGUAAAACCUGCCCGGAGAACCUGGCUGGAGACAUUAAUUUUUAUUUGUUCCAUAAAAUUCAUACAGUGCUUGAUUGUUUAAAAAAUAAACCCUCAAAGCGAUUUACAGAGAACGUAAGACAAUAAAUGUAUCAAAAAGACAGAUUAACAAGAAUGACCUAAGACUUUUGAAAAGUUAAAAUAACAAGAAAAGCAGAUUAAAACUCACAUCAACUCUCUAAAUAUCUGGGUAGGUUUCUCGAAACAUUAAUGUUUUCAGCUGGCGGCAUUUUUUUAAAAAUAAACUUUCUUCCAAACACUGGUCAAAUUCCUUGAGAUCAAGCUGGUGUUUUAAAGCAGAGAGACAGCCACAUUCAAGCUAUCAUGAAAGGCACAGGCGCAGAGGCCAAUUCAAAAGUUGGCAACCCUAUCCGGCGGUGGCAAAAAUGAAGCCCAGUGAAGAUACAAAUCUUGUUCUUCUUUUAAUCUCUGAAAUAUUAACUGGAUCUUUACAUUGAUAUGCCGCUGUUCCAGGAGCUCACAGCAGCAUGCUUCGUCUUAAUUCCAGGGGUCAGCAAAAUCUUUCAGCAGGGGUCCGGUCUACUGUCCCUCAGACCUUGUAGGGGGGCCAGACUAUAUAUUUUUUUGGGGGGGGGGGGGGGAAUGAACCAAUCCCUAUGCCCCACAAAUAACCCAGAGAUGCAUUUCAAAUAAAAGCACACAUUCUACUCAUGUAAAAACACGCUGAUUCCUGGACGGCCGUGGGCUGGAUUGAGAAGGCAAUUGGACCGGAUCUGGCCCCCGGGCCUUAGGUUGCCUACCCAUGAUUUAAACUGUACCACAGUCCUGCAAGGGAGGCAUGGGCAGCGAACGAACAACUGGCCCAAGCUCACGAUGGGGGAGAUUUGAACCCAGACUGGAGGAGGGCAAAUGUUGUCCCUAUUUUCAAAAAGGGGAAAAGAGAGGACCCAAAUAAUUACCGCCCAGUCAGUCUGACAUCAAUACCAGGGAAGAUUCUGGAGCAGAUCAUUAAGCAAACAGUCUGUGAGCACCUAGAAAGGAAUGCUGUGAUCACCAAUAGUCAGCAUGGAUUUCUGAAAAAUAAGUCAUGUCAGACUAACCUGAUCUCGUUUUUGACAGAAUUACAAGCCUGGUAGAUGAAGGGAACGCAGUGGAUGUAGCCUACCUUGAUUUCAGCAUGGCAUUUGACAAGGUGCCCCAUGAUAUUCUUGUAAAGAAGCUGGUAAAAUGCGGUCUUGACUAUGCUACCACUCAGUGGAUUUGUAACUGGCUGACUGACCGAACCCAAAGGGUGCUCAUCAAUGGUUCCUCUUCAUCCUGGAGAAGAGUGACUAGUGGGGUGCCACAGGGUUCUGUCUUGGGCCCGGUCUUAUUCAACAUCUUUAUCAAUGACUUGGAUGAUGGACUCAAGGGCAUCCUGAUCAAAUUUGCAGAUGACACCAAAUUGGGAGGGGUGGCUAACACCCCAGAGGACAGGAUCACACUUCAAAACGACCUUGACAGAUUAGAGAACUGGGCCAAAACAAACAAGAUGAAUUUUAACAGGGAGAAAUGUAAAGUAUUGCACUUGGGCAAAAAAAAUGAGAGGCACAAAUACAAGAUGGGGGACACGUGGCUUGAGAGCAGUACAUGUGAAAAGGAUCUAGGAGUCUUGGUUGACCACAAACUUGACAUGAGCCAACAGUGUGACGCGGCAGCUAAAAAAGCCAAUGCAAUUCUGGGCUGCAUCAAUAGAAGUAUAGCAUCUAGAUCAAGGGAAGUAAUAGUGCCACUGUAUUCUGCUCUGGUCAGACCUCACCUGGAGUACUGUGUCCAGUUCUGGGCACCACAGUUCAAGAAGGACACUGACAAACUGGAACGUGUCCAGAGGAGGGCAACCAAAAUGGUCAAAGGCCUGGAAACGAUGCCUUAUGAGGAACGGCUAAGGGAGCUGGGCAUGUUUAGCCUGGAGAAGAGGGGGGUUAAGGGGUGAUAUGAUAGCCAUGUUCAAAUAUAUAAAAGGAUGUCACAUAGAGGAGGGAGAAAGGUUGUUUUCUGCUGCUCCAGAGAAGCGGACACGGAGCAAUGGAUCCAAACUACAAGAAAGAAGAUUCCACCUAAACAUUAGGAAGAACUUCCUGACAGUAAGAGCUGUUCGACAGUGGAAUUUGCUGCCAAGGAGUGUGGUGGAGUCUCCUUCUUUGGAGGUCUUUAAGCAGAGGCUUGACAACCAUAUGUCAGGAGUGCUCUGAUGGUGUUUCCUGCUUGGCAGGGGGUUGGACUCGAUGGCCCUUGUGGUCUCUUCCAACUCUAGGAUUCUAUGAUUCUAUGAUUCUAUCCCUCCCAGGACCUUGCUUGACGCUCUAACCCAUGGGUAGGCAAACUAAGGCCCAGGGGCCAGAUGCGGCCCAAUCGCCUUCUAAAUCCGGCCCGCGGACGGUCUGGGAAUCAGCGUGUUUUUACAUGAGUACUAUUGCAGGAAAGCCCCCCCCCCCACAUUCAGUUUGUACAAACACGACACACACACACACACACUCACACACGACAUACGCGACGUUUCUGUUAUAAAUUCAUAGUAAAUCAACCAUACAUCGGAUUUACACCGGUCCACGUUUAUUUUGCUCCAUGGAGGAAGGACUAUCAAAGGGGGAUGGUUUGAUACAGGACGGCCAUAAUCCCUUGAGCGUACCAGCACAUACACAGGAGCCCUGCCCAGUUGCUAUGCCAACCUUGAUGGUCCUAGACAGAAGACCAUCAAGGUCACAAAGGGCUUGCAUAUGGGAGUGGAUUCAACAUGGACUGGAACAAAGAACAAUGAUCAGAUCUUCCCUCUGGGGGCAGGAAACUGCCAACUCCCCUUUGUCCUUUGGAAAUGACUCAUGGGGAGGGGGAAAGGAAGAACCAGGCAGGUGACAAGAUACUCAGGUUACCUCCACAACUCCUCCCUCAACCCCUCCUUUCUGUGAUGUGUCAAUGAUGUAGUCAUGAUGUAGUUGUGAUGUACGGUAGUUCUAGGGGUGUAGUUUGGGGGAUUAGUAACUAAUAAAAGUUUGGGGGCUCUUUUGCUCUGGGCUUCCAUUUGUUCUGGUGGCAGGUGGGAGUCCUGUCGCGACAGUCUUCAGUAAAGACCAAGACUACUGGCUGCUGUUUUGCUCUGGUAUUCCUGGCUGGUGUCCUUGUUUUAUUGUCCAAGGGAGCCCUCGGAUAUCUCCGUUAACAGUAGAAUGUGUGCUUUUAUUUAAAAUGCAUCUCUGGGUUCUUUGUGGGGCAUAGGAAUUCGUUCAUUUUCCCCCCUUCAAAAUACAGUCCGGCCCCCCACAAGCUCUGAGGGACAGUGAACCGGCCCCCUGCUGACCUCUGCUCUAACCCCUGUGUCUGAGUUCCCCAGAGCAUGUACAGAAGUCCUUCCCUUUGGGCAUAGAAGCGAGGCUCCUGGGACAGAGGCACGGGUUGCUAGAAUGUGAAAGCGCCUUUUCCUAGGAGAUGGAGUGUGGUAGGAAAUUGCUGGGUGGAAAGUCAAGGGUGGGAGAGAGACAUGAGAUUAGCUGCACAUCAGAUGUCCCAGGCCUGGACACCUCUCACUGCAAAUUAAUUCCUGAUGGCCCAAAGCUGUUGACGAAGGGAUCUGUGUCUGUGCUCCAGGUGCUGGGCCCCGAUGAAGAUGGAUAACGCGGCGUCUUAAUUAGUGCACCAUCGAUUGGACGGAGCGGCCUGCGACUCCGAAGAUCUUGGUGCGGCGGCUCGAGUGAUUGAUUGGCAGCUGUCAGAAACUCAGCAUCCUGGAGGGCCUUUUGGCCUGUCUCAUUCGAUUUGGAUCCAGCGAUGAGUGGCGUGCCAAAGCAGGAUUGGCAGCUUGUGGUGGAAUCCCAGCUCUCAACUGCUACCUACCCCCCCAAAAAACCCAGCACCCUUUGAUGCCUUUUCCGGUUUUGGAAAGGACAGGCGAGCAAUGAGGACUAUAGACUUGAACGGGAACGUCGAACCAUUCUGUAGGGCUGGCUCUGCUGCCAGGAAGGGCACAGCAGCCAGCUCAGUGGGUAGGUGUUGUGUGUGUGUCAGAUUUUGAAAGUUGGAGUGUGCAGGGUGUACUCUUGUUCAAAUUGUGCGAGAGCACAGGAAGGGAU